rnacentral:rRNA from 1 species
GCGUGCUACGCUGACGGGUCAACGGGUAAGAUGUGCGAAGCGCUUACCAAUCUCUAAAUCCGCUCGUGCUGGGGAUCGAGGCUUGCAAUUUUCCCUCGUGAACGAGGAAUYCCUUGUAAGCGCGGGUCAUCAUNCCGUGCUGAAUACGUCCCUGCCCUUUGUACACACCGACCGUCGCUCCUACCGAUUGAGUGGUACGGUGAGGCCUUGGGAGGGAAAGAUGGACUGUGUUUCACAGACCGUCUGGCCCAAACUUGGUCAAACCUUAUCACUUAGAGGAAGGAGAAGUCGUAACAAGGUUUCCGUAGGUGAACCUGCGGAAGGAUCAUUCGUAGUGGGAUAGCGGGCUAGCGGGGCUGCUUGUUUGUCUCCUAGCCUGCUUUUCUAUAUAUCUCGUGAACACUUGUAUUCCAUAUUUUAUACUUAACAUUUCAACACAUAUACAAUAAACACAAACUUUAACCAGACAAAACUCGUGACGGUGGAUGUCUUGGCUCCAGCAACGAUGAAGAACGCAGCANAAUGCGAUACGUAGUGCGAAUUGCAGAACCCGUGAAUCAUCGAAUCUUUGAACGCAAGUUGCGCUCGCGGGUAAUCCUGCGAGCAUGUCUGUUUGAGUGUCCGCACAAAUGCGACUUUUGCUCUUUUGUAAAAGAGCUGCUGAUGGGCGUGCAGAAAUGCAGUCAAGUCCGUGUCCUCCGGGACGUGGUCGMCCGAAGAACAGAGCGCUGAUUGUUGUGGAUAUUUUGUCCCCUUACCUCGUAUGGAAUCUUUAGAUUCCGGGUAGCUCUUGGGUGCGGUCCUCGGACUGCUGCCUGUAGAUGGGGCGAAGCGUGCGCUGCGAAGUAAUGAAAUAUUGAGCAGUCCGCGACGUCUUGUUUAUAGGAACGCGAAUCAAUUCGUAACCUUGGGUGAAUCUGGAUCUUUGGAGGCGAGGAUAGGGUGUGCAGAAACCGCUAGCAAGUAGCCAAAAACCCAUAAAACUAUUUUGGAUCUUAAAUCAGACAAGACGACCCGCUGAAUUAAGCUAU